rnacentral:sRNA from 1 species
AUGUAAAUUUUGCUAUUUUUUACUUUUAUGGGACUGGAAAUCCAUUCUCUUUAUCUGUAAACUCCUUAUAAACAUCUGAGUUUGUUAUUACCGUAUUAGUUUGCAAUGAUUUGUUAAGAAUUUUGCCAGGGACUCCACAAAAAUCCACUACAGUAUAUCCAAGAAUUCGCUAUACGCAUGUUUGUAUGAAUUGAGUUUUACUGUAUUUUUUUUUAAAACAACAAUGUAAACAAACAACAACUAGGCAAUAUUUAAUAUCAACAUUAUAACAAUGCUGUGAACAAAGUAAAGAAAUAACAGUAGUCAUGUACAAAGCAGUAUAUAUUAAUAUAAAUGUUCAAGAUUGAAUAAAUACCCGUAUAUUAAAAAAUGGCAAUUAAGAUAUAAUGACACAUUUCCUGAGAACAACAAUACUCUGACUUAUGUUACCUGUACUGUUAUUUAUGAACAAAUAUUAUCAAAAUAACUUUUUUUAUUUAUCGUGAAAUAAUAUUUCAUAAUGGAAUUCAACAAUGCUUAUAUACCAUAUUGUCCUGCAGAUUGGCAAAUACUACGGUAUUUUAAACAAAGCAUACUUGAGCAGUGCAUGCACGUUUUCAUGAAAUUUCUCCAGGCAUUAAUAAACUGUAACUUC